rnacentral:rRNA from 1 species
AGUCGAGCGGACAGAUGGGAGCUUGCUCCCUGAUGUUAGCGGCGGACGGGUGAGAAACACGUGGGUAACCUGCCUGUAAGACUGGGAUAACUCCGGGAAACCGGGGCUAAUACCGGAUGCUUGUUUGAACCGCAUGGUUCAAACAUAAAAGGUGGCUUCGGCUACCACUUACAGAUGGACCCGCGGCGCAUUAGCUAGUUGGUGAGGUAAUGGCUCACCAAGGCAACGAUGCGUAGCCGACCUGAGAGGGUGAUCGGCCACACUGGGACUGAGACACGGCCCAGACUCCUACGGGAGGCAGCAGUAGGGAAUCUUCCGCAAUGGACGAAAGUCUGACGGAGCAACGCCGCGUGAGUGAUGAAGGUUUUCGGAUCGUAAAGCUCUGUUGUUAGGGAAGAACAAGUACCGUUCGAAUAGGGCGGUACCUUGACGGUACCUAACCAGAAAGCCACGGCUAACUACGUGCCAGCAGCCGCGGUAAUACGUAGGUGGCAAGCGUUGUCCGGAAUUAUUGGGCGUAAAGGGCUCGCAGGCGGUUCCUUAAGUCUGAUGUGAAAGCCCCCGGCUCAACCGGGGAGGG